rnacentral:tRNA from 1 species
AACCUAGUGGCUCAGAUGGUAAAGCAUCUGCCUGCAAUGCAGAAGACCUGGGUUUAAUUCCUGGGUUG